CAGAGCGUACUGCCAGAUCAAGGUCUUCUGCGACAAGGGAGCAGAAAGAAAAAUCCGAGAUGAAGAGAGAAAGCAGAAUAGGAAGAAAGGGAAGGGCCAGGCCUCCCAAACCCAGUGCAACAACUCCUCUGACGGGAAGCUGGCCGCCAUACCUUUACAGAAGAAAAGUGACAUCACGUACUUCAAAACCAUGCCUGACCUGCACUCGCAGCCCGUGCUCUUCAUACCAGAUGUUCACUUUGCCAACCUGCAGAGGACUGGACAGGUACUACUUUUGCUCACAGCCUCCUACUGCCCUCCUCAGGGUGUGCUGGUGUGUACGCAGAACAGGCCACAAAAAUAAACUCAAGCAGCAGGGGAAUGGCAACACAAAAAGUAGGUUUUUACAGAAAACAUUGUCUUGGGAGGAAAUACUGGCAUGCUAAGGCAAAGAAAGGUGUGAGCUGUUAUUAGAACAUUGUUGACAACAGGACAGGAGAAAGCUCCUCAUCUGCCUGUUCAAGUUGUGGUGUCUGUGAAGCAGACUCGG